UGGGGAAUAUUGCACAAUGGGCGCAAGCCUGAUGCAGCCAUGCCGCGUGUAUGAAGAAGGCCUUCGGGUUGUAAAGUACUUUCAGCGGGGAGGAAGGGAGUAAAGUUAAUACCUUUGCUCAUUGACGUUACCCGCAGAAGAAGCACCGGCUAACUCCGUGCCAGCAGCCGCGGUAAUACGGAGGGUGCAAGCGUUAAUCGGAAUUACUGGGCGUAAAGCGCACGCAGGCGGUUUGUUAAGUCAGAUGUGAAAUCCCCGGGCUCAACCUGGGAACUGCGUCUGGUACUGGCAAGCUUGAGUCUCGUAGAGGGGGGUAGAAUUCCCUGUGUGGCGGUGAAAUGCGUAAAGAUCUGGAGGAAUACCGGGGGCGAAGGCGGCCCCCUGGACGAAGACUGACGCUCAGGUGCGAAAGCGUGGGGAGCAAACAGG
rnacentral:rRNA from 1 species